CCGUGCUAGGUGGGGAGGUAGCGGUUCCCUGUACUCGAAAUCCGCUUUAUGCGAGACUUAAUUCCUUUGUUGAGGGCGUAUUUUUGUGAAGUCUGCCCGAAGCACGUAGUGUUUGAAGAUUUCGGUCCUAUGCAAUAUGAACCCAUGAACCAUGUCAGGUCUUGACGGAAGCAGCAUUAAGUGGAUCCUCAUAUGUGCCGUAGGGUAGCCGAGAUUUAGCUGUCGACUUCGGUAACGUUUAUGAUAUGCGUUCGAUACAAAGGUGCAUGG
rnacentral:SRP_RNA from 1 species